rnacentral:rRNA from 1 species
GAUGAACGCUGGCGGCGUGCUUAACACAUGCAAGUCGAACGAUGAAGCCCAGCUUGCUGGGUGGAUUAGUGGCGAACGGGUGAGUAACACGUGAGUAACCUGCCCUUAACUCUGGGAUAAGCCGGGGAAACUGGGUCUAAUACCGGAUAGGAGCGUCCACCGCAUGGUGGGUGUUGGAAAGAUUUAUCGGUUUUGGAUGGACUCGCGGCCUAUCAGCUUGUUGGUGAGGUAAUGGCUCACCAAGGCGACGACGGGUAGCCGGCCUGAGAGGGUGACCGGCCACACUGGGACUGAGACACGGCCCAGACUCAUACGGGAGGCAGCAGUGGGGAAUAUUGCACAAUGGGCGCAAGCCUGAUGCAGCGACGCCGCGUGAGGGAUGACGGCCUUCGGGUUGUAAACCUCUUUCAGUAGGGAAGAAGCGAAAGUGACGGUACCUGCAGAAGAAGCACCGGCUAACUACGUG